rnacentral:rRNA from 1 species
AGUGAACGCUGGCGGUAGGCCUAACACAUGCAAGUCGAACGGCAGCACAGUAAGAGCUUGCUCUUACGGGUGGCGAGUGGCGGACGGGUGAGGAAUACAUCGGAAUCUACUUUUUCGUGGGGGAUAACGUGGGGAAACUUACGCUAAUACCGCAUACGACCUACGGGUGAAAGCAGGGGAUCUUCGGACCUUGCGCGAUUGAAUGAGCCGAUGUCGGAUUAGCUAGUUGGCGGGGUAAAGGCCCACCAAGGCGACGAUCCGUAGCUGGUCUGAGAGGAUGAUCAGCCACACUGGAACUGAGACACGGUCCAGACUCCUACGGGAGGCAGCAGUGGGGAAUAUUGGGCAAUGGGCGCAAGCCUGAUCCAGCCAUACCGCGUGGGUGAAGAAGGCCUUCGGGUUGUAAAGCCCUUUUGUUGGGAAAGAAAAGCAGCAGGUUAAUACCCCGCUGUUCUGACGGUACCCAAAGAAUAAGCACCGGCUAACUUCGUG